UACAAUGUUUUUACCCUUUGUCUUAUUAUAAUUUUUUUGUGAUUAAUAUUUUUAUUGUUACUGGAUGGAAAACAUGAAUAGUAUUUUAUGUGCGACUAAUUUUUUAUAUUUUAUAUAAAUUUUUUAAAUAAGACGAAUGGUGAAAUUAUUGGACACAAAAA
rnacentral:pre_miRNA from 1 species